ensembl:lncRNA
AAUUUCCUGUUGGCCUCAUAUCAGAAAAGAGCUAAGGUGUGCUGGUGCUUGAUAUGGAGCAGAAGGCAUGUGGUGUCCUCAGGCAUCUUACUGACUCUAAGUCCCGUUUGUGCUCUGAGACACACAUCUCAUUUAUAUAUUUUAAACAAAAUCUUUUAGAGUAUUAUUUGUAGUGCUUUUGGACUUGCCAGGACCUGCUGGAAAGUGAUGUAUCCCUUCAACAAUGGAGCCCUGAUGGCAUUUUCCAGUAAUUCAUCAUGCCCAAAUCACAUCUUGAUGAUGUAUUACAUUAAUACAUCAUCAGAAAAACAGUUUUCUGGUCACCGGAGCUUUCAUGAUGUAUUUGUGUGAACUCUGGGCAAAAGGCGAUCCUUCUGCAAAUGUAUUAUUUAACAGCAUAACCAGUCCUGCUUGACAAAAGUGUGAAAGCAAAGCUUGGAUUUCCUAAGACUGUGUUCACCAUCGCAUACAAUCUGAACCAGUGUUUGAAACACCUUCAUCCUCGUGCUAUUGUGUACUCUCAUCCAGAGGCAGUACCCUUCUGGACUACUGCACUUUGUCAGAGAAGAAGUUCUGUUGGUAACAGUCUUAUUCUUCUGGGGUUGUUCCCAUGGUGUGUGAUGAGCAACGCAUGCCUCACCAGGGCUAUGAGGGCAUCUUUUGUCAGCACAGACGGCCACAUGAUGGAGAUUAUGGAGAGUGUUUGCAAUGGAUUCAACUACUUUUCUACCAGCCUUGUCCUUUCGAAGUGUGAUUAGUGACCAUGUGAACCCCACUGGUUUUCCAUUUCAGGAAAGCUUUUUAGUUUUUGAAGAUAAUCUUCUUAACUCUUUGCUACCCGGGAGCUCACAGCAGAGGGGUUGUUCUGGUAGGCUGCAGGCCAGGCAGCAAUGCUACAAUAAGAUGGAAGGAACAGUAAGCAGCAGUGGUGUGAAAUCUUACUUCAUUUUGAUUGAGUGCACUGUUGGUGAGGCACUAGAAUGCCCAGAAUCUGAUCUCUAUUUCAACAUUUCCAGAGAGUUCAUGCCCCCACCUCCAGUUGUGUGCUGUAAAUAACCUUGUUUUGGAGCAGUGUUUCUUCUCACUUCUCAUUCUUUGCAUCUCUCCAGUUGGGAAUCUCUGUAUGAAUGUCUAUAUGGCUCUUCUGGGAAUAAACUCUACCUACCCCUGCUUUAGCAGAGAGUAGGACAAGCUGAUGCCAAGAGCCAUCCCAACCUCAAUGAUCCCAUGUGAACUUCAAGAAAUAUCAUCAUUAUCAGUGUAAGAAUGGUAACAUGAAAGCACAGAGAGAAAGUCUGAGAGGUGGCUAUAAACACAGAGGCACCCAAGAGGCAUCUUCUGCCUGGACCUGAGUACAUCCUCAGUGAGAAGUGCAGGAGGCAAUGGAUCCUGGAUGAUGGGUAGGUGGAUGUUUUGACCUGGUCCACAUUUUAUAGCAAGUGGUAGUUCAGCAGCUGAACUGAGGGAACAGAAUGGGGCAUCUUUUUUCUUGAGGAAGGCUGAAUAGGGCCAAAUCCUUGGGAAAAGCAGGAUUCACUAACCCUACUUUAGAUAAGUUCUGAGUCUCACUGCGUAAGCUAUUCACCUUGGGCUUGUUUGCAGCCAAUGGAGCAGAACAGUUGCCUUCAAAAAGUGAUUCAUCUCUUCCUCCAGCAGAUGUCUAAGGUAAAUCAGAUAAAUCAUCCCUUGCAAGGACUGUCUUUGAACUCUAAGAGUGAGGGAGAGCAGCAAAGUUAGAAGUAUAACUAUUGGUCAUGUGAAAUUGAGACAUAUGUUACCUGUUUUGUAAGUUCCAUAAAUAUCACAGAUAUUAUGGCGUUCUGUACCAAUAGAAGUUUGUAGUAUCACUUAA